GACGAACGCUGGCGGCGUGCUUAACACAUGCAAGUCGAACGGAAAGGCCCUGCUUUUGUGGGGUGCUCGAGUGGCGAACGGGUGAGUAACACGUGAGUAACCUGCCCUUGACUUUGGGAUAACUUCAGGAAACUGGGGCUAAUACCGGAUAGGAGCUCCUGCUGCAUGGUGGGGGUUGGAAAGUUUCGGCGGUUGGGGAUGGACUCGCGGCUUAUCAGCUUGUUGGUGGGGUAGUGGCUUACCAAGGAUUUGACGGGUAGCCGGCCUGUGAGGGUGACCGGCAAAAUGGGGACGGAGAUACGGACCAGACUCCAACGGGAGGCAGCAGUGGGGAAUAUUGCAAAAUGGGCGGAAGCCUGAUGCAGAAACGCCGCGUGCGGGAUGACGGCCUUCGGGUUGUAAACCGCUUUCGCCUGUGACGAAGCGUGAGUGACGGUAAUGGGUAAAGAAGCACCGGCUAACUACGUG
rnacentral:rRNA from 1 species